CCUACGGGGGGCAGCAGUGGGGAAUAUUGCGCAAUGGGCGAAAGCCUGACGCAGCGACGCCGCGUGAGGGAUGAAGGUCUUCGGAUCGUAAACCUCUGUCAGCAGGGAAGAACGGUCACUGUGCUAAUCAGCAGUGAAUUGACGGUACCUGCAAAGGAAGCACCGGCUAACUCCGUGCCAGCAGCCGCGGUAAUACGGAGGGUGCGAGCGUUAAUCGGAAUUACUGGGCGUAAAGCGCUCGUAGGCGGUAUGUCAAGUCAAGGGUGAAAUCCCCGGGCUCAACGUGGGAACUGCCUUUGAAACUGGAAAACUGGAGUGUGUGAGAGGAUAGUGGAAUUCCAGGUGUAGGAGUGAAAUGCGUAGAUAUCUGGAGGAACAUCAGUGGCGAAGGCGACUAUCUGGCACAUAACUGACGCUGAGGAGCGAAAGCGUGGGUAGCAAACAGGAUUAGAUACCCCGGUAGUC
rnacentral:rRNA from 1 species